GGUGGCUCAGUGGUAGAGUGCUUGACUUGCAUACAUGGGGCCCUGGGUUCGAUUCCUCAGCACCA
rnacentral:tRNA from 1 species